rnacentral:rRNA from 1 species
AUUGAACGCUGGCGGAAUGCUUUACACAUGCAAGUCGAACGGCAGCACGGACUUCGGUCUGGUGGCGAGUGGCGAACGGGUGAGUAAUAUAUCGGAACGUGCCCAGUCGUGGGGGAUAACGUAGUGAAAAUUACGCUAAUACCGCAUACGAUCUAUGGAUGAAAGCGGGGGAUCGCAAGACCUCGCGCGAUUGGAGCGGCAGAUAUCAGAUUAGGUAGUUGGUGAGGUAAAGGCUCACCAAGCCGACGAUCUGUAGCUGGUCUGAGAGGACGACCAGCCACAGUGGAACUGAGACACGGUCCAGACUCCUACGGGCGGCAGCAGUGGGGAAUUUUGGACAAUGGACGCAAGUCUGAUCCAGCCAUUCCGCGUGCAGGACGAAGGCCUUCGGGUUGUAAACUGCUUUUGUACAGAACGAAAAGGUCUCUAUUAAUACUAGGGGCUCAUGACGGUACUGUAAGAAUAAGCACCGGCUAACUACGUGCCAGCCGCCGCAGUAA